GACGAACGCUGGCGGCGUGCCUAAUACAUGCAAGUCGAACGCAGUGGGGACGGGUGAGUAACACGUGGGUAACCUCCCAUCAGAGGGGAUAACACUUGGAAACAGGUGCUAAACCGAUACUGAUGGAUGGACCCGCGGUGCAUUAGCUAGUUGGUGGGGUAAAGGCUCACCAAGGCAACGAGCCGUAGCUGGUUGGAGAGGGUGAUCGGCCACACUGGGACGGAGACACGGCCCAGACUCCUACGGGAGGCAGCAGUAGGGAAUCUUCGGCAAUGGACGAAAGUCUGACCGAGCAACGCCGCGUGAGUGAAGAAGGUUUUAGGAUCGUAAAACUCUGUUGUUAGAGAAGCGGUAUCUAACCAGAAAGCAACGGCUAACUACGUGCCAGCAGCCGCGGUAAUUC
rnacentral:rRNA from 1 species